GACGAACGCUGGCGGCGUGCUUAACACAUGCAAGUCGAACGGAAAGGCCCUGCUUUUGUGGGGUGCUCGAGUGGCGAACGGGUGAGUAACACGAGAGUAACCUGCCCUUGACUUUGGGAUAACUUCAGGAAACUGGGGCUAAUACCGGAUAGGAGCUCCUGCUGCAUGGUGGGGGUUGGAAAGUUUCGGCGGUUGGGGAUGGACUCGCGGCUUAUCAGCUUGUUGGUGGGGUAGUGGCUUACCAAGGCUUUGACGGGUAGCCGGCCUGAGAGGGUGACCGGCCACAUUGCGACUGAUCGACGGCCCCGUCUCCUACGGGAGGCAGCAGUGGGGAAUAUUGCGCAGUGGGCGGAAGCCUGAUGCAGCAACGCCGCGUGCGGGAUGACGGCCUUCGGGUUGUAAACCGCUUUCGCCUGUGACGAAGCGUGAGUGACGGUAAUGGGUAAAGAAGCACCGGCUAACUACGUG
rnacentral:rRNA from 1 species